GUGCUUAACACAUGCAAGUCGAGGGCGGGUAGCAAUACCCGACCGGCGAACGGGUGCGUAACACGUGAGCGACCGACCCUAGGUGUGGGGGAUAGCCGGCCCAACGGCCGGGUAAUACCGCAUACGCUUCUUGGACUGCCUGGUCCGGGAAGGAAACCCUUCGGGGGCACUAGGACGGGCUCGCGGCCUAUCAGCUAGUUGGCGGGGUAAUGGCCCACCAAGGCGACGACGGGUAGCUGGUCUGAGAGGAUGGCCAGCCACAUUGGGACUGAGAGACGGCCCAG
rnacentral:rRNA from 1 species